rnacentral:rRNA from 1 species
CAGCCCCACGGGAAUACAGAGGGUGCGAGCGUUAAUCGGAUUUACUGGGCGUAAAGCGUGCGUAGGCGGCUUCUUAAGUCGGAUGUGAAAUCCCUGAGCUUAACUUAGGAAUUGCAUUCGAUACUGGGAAGCUAGAGUAUGGGAGAGGAUGGUAGAAUUCCAGGUGUAGCGGUGAAAUGCGUAGAGAUCUGGAGGAAUACCGAUGGCGAAGGCAGCCAUCUGGCCUAAUACUGACGCUGAGGUACGAAAGCAUGGGGAGCAAACAGGAUUAGAUACCCCGGUAGUCCCUGUCUCUUAUACA